rnacentral:rRNA from 1 species
UACGAGGGGUCCUAGCGUUGUUCGGAAUCAUUGGGCGUAAAGCGUCUGUAGGCGGCUUUGUAAGUCGGGUGUGAAAGCCCCAGGCUCAACCUGGGAAGUGCAUUCGAUACUGCUUAGCUUGAAUGUUGGAGAGGCUAGUAGAAUUCCAGGUGUAGUGGUGAAAUACGUAGAUAUCUGGAGGAAUACCGGUGGCGAAGGCAGCUAUCUGCCAAACAUUGACGCUGAGAGACGAAAGUGCGGGGAUCAAAGCAGGAU